GAGGCUACGCUUUCUUCGGCGUGUAGAGGGAGCUUUCCCGCGGAUGGGUAUGGUGGUGAUCGUUGGCGGAGAACUUCGUUGCCACAGACAGGCCUAGAUUACAGAUGGCCUUUAUGCCUCUGGAUUUUAAAAAGAAUAUCAUCAUCAUCAUCAUCACCAUUGUCAUCAUCAUCGUCGUCAUCAUCAUCAUCAUCAUCAUCAUCAUCUAUGUGGGGGAGUAUAUUUUGCCUGCAUAUAUGCCUGUGUACCACAUUUGUGAGUUAGACAGUUGUGAGACACCAUGUGUGUGCUGAGAACUGAACCUGGGUCCUCUGGAAGGGGAUAGUCAGUACUCUCAACACGGCUUUCUCGACAGAUUCUGAACAACAAUUUUCAACUUAGAGCUUUGAAGAUGAUAGAAGUCCAGAAUAUUCAAAACUAAUCUGUGUAUUAGAAUGAGCAAUAGGAAGAUCCAUGUCUGGUGGGCAAAAAGGCCCCAAAAAAUUAAAGAAUACAACAUGCAGAGCUGCUGGCAGGUAACCAUGGGGCAUAUAGAAAACCAUCAGGCUUUUAUGGGGCUAAACAAUGAACUUGAAAAAGGAACUUGGAAAAUUUAGUAAUCAUAGGAUAAAUGGGAAAUCUGUCAAAUAAAAAGGUUCAUGGAAGCAAUAGUUUUUUCUAGAGCAA
rnacentral:lncRNA from 1 species